GAUACAAAUGCCUUACAUUUUGUUUGUCAAUGUCAUGUCAUUAGUCAGUCUCAUCACCUUUGAAUAGCAGAACAGAACGAACACUAUCACCAAUUCGUAUUGUGGCUUUUUGCAUGUGUCUUAAAUUCUCAUAUUUGAUAAUAAAUGCAACAAUAAAAUAUUUCCCUUAUUCUGCCACAGUUAUGCACCAGUCAAUUGUAACAAUGGCGCCCAGGUCUUGUUUAUACCGGGGAUAGCAGGGGAAAUGGGCCAUGUUUUUACCUUCCAGGUGGACCGGCAGUGCUGAGUGAAUGCGGUGUUAUUGUUUUUGCGCUGAUAACAGGGAAUGGGCCUAACCUAGGAUGUCCCCAGGGGCAUUUGACGGGGAUCUGGUCAUUUCGUAACCUUACCAUUUCGUAACUGCUGAUCUUGGUUAUUUCGUAACCAUUCUAUACACUGUGUUGUGUGUGGAUAAGAAAUGCAGAGUGGUACCACCAAUCACCUAAGCCACCAUUCCCCUAACAGACAAAAGGCUCAUGGGGACAGUUCCUGCAGUUUACAGCAAAUUGUAGCCCUACAAACUUCAGAUACUGCCAAGCUUGGGUGCACUGGGCCGGUUAUCCAGCCGUGUGGAAUCAACAUCUCCAGCUGAACUUGGGCCGGGAAUUAUAUAAGAAUCCUUAGCAGCAUGAGUGCCAGCCAGUCAUUGCUGUUCUUUGCAUUGCUGAGGAGGACAGUCCUGCCAACAUAAUAGUUUGUUCAAUAACAGGAGACAAACAGAAACACAGAGGUGCUAUACAUUCCGAUGGAAAAUACAACAAAAGAAGAAUUUUAAGAAAGGUGAUGGUUGGGCACACACAAGAAGACAUAGAUCACUGCCAAACUUACUUCAUCAGAGGAGCAGAAAGCUUCCCAAGAUCCCGCACUGCACACUUAGAUAUAGUCUUUGACUACAACAAGGGGGAGAAAGUACAGAGAGGUCCAAUUGAAAUCAAUUCUGUGCUGCGUCAUUUCUUCAUUCUGGAAGUCGAUGGACAUGAUUUAUCAUGGCAUCAGGUGUGCAGUUUGUCGACUAUCAGCAGUCUUGUUCACCAGUUGUGCAACUUGAGCUGGUAGCUUUAUUGCUUGAAGCCACAGCAUAAGAGGGGGAAGGUGCAGGCUCAUCAAAAAGUCUCAAAAGUUGAAACUAGGAAAAGAAGUUUGUCAAGAGUGUGAAUAUUUGCUUUGAAAACCAUCGUUACGAUGAUUUGGUUUCCUUUGAAACUUGAUACAUACUAUGUGUAUGUUGAAUGAAUUGAGAUGCUUAAAUAAAGAACCGCUAUUCAAAUAUCAGGAAACUGCAUUUUUCAUACUAAAUGGUAAAUGAUGUCGCCAUUUCCUGUAUGUAUUUAAAUGAGAUAUGUUUCCACAAUUAAUAUUUUUAGGGAAUUUUUCUCAUCCUAAUGAAUGAGAUUAAAUUGUACAGCGUUAUAUGAGCUUAAUAUGUGUUUUCUGUUUCUUUAAAAUUGGUGAAAAAUUGUCAGAAGAUAAUUAGACCAGUAUCCAUUACUGCAAUCACACAAUCAAAUAUACAGGGACAAACCCACUGGGCAUAUAAUAUAAUUAAACCCUGUUUAGGGGCACGAGGCAAACAGAGUUACUUUCAAACGUUAAAGCUGCACUCUCACAUUUUGGACGUUUUGACAACUUUUCUCAUUUUAUGUCUUGGAUUGGAACCAUCCAAUUUUUGCGAAAAAUUAAAUGGCAGAUUUUUCAAUUUAAGUUAAAACAUUGAUGUUUUAUGCACUUUUCUUAAACCGUUAGUAACAUUAAUUUUUGAACGGAAAUAUGAAAUCUGUGAUCUGAUCUUUUGUCAGCAAUCUUUUAUCAUUGGUUUGCAGAUAAUUACGUAAAACAUUGCUCAUUCAAAAACAAAAAAAGUUGUGAAAACGGUAUAUCUGUGGGAGUGCAGCUCUAAAUGUUUUCUUGAUUUUACUACUGUAUUAGAAAUUACAGGGGUUGGGGCAUAUUUUUAGUGUUUUUAUUGCUUUUUAUUUUCAUACAGUCAUACUUUAUUCCUCAGGGCAUAACUUACAAAUAGACAAAACUGGAAAAUGGUCGUUUCAAAAGGCCAAAGAUAAUGCAAGUUGAACAAUCAUAUUGUUCAUGGCUUGUAUUUUUGGUGUAUUUUGUUGCAUAUGCUAUAGAAAAGUUGAAAGUUAAAAAUAAAUUCAUAGUUGAAAUGAUGGCUUUGAAUGGUAUUGUCAGAUGAGAAACGGCACUUUUAAGAAAUAGGUAUAAUGGUACUUUAUUUAUUUUGAUCAAUUUUAGAUAUUGUAUGAAAAUUAUUAUCUUAUUUAGUACAUGAGACCUUUUAAACAGUUAUUGACAAUAUAACAAUGUGUAUAUGAAGCUUUAGAUCAACACUUAAAGCUGCACUCUUACAGAUUGUCAGUUAAGACACAAAAUUGUCUCAAAAUCUGCUGAUUUGGUUAUCAUUCCUUUAAUUCAGUCAUAUUAGAUAAUUCACAAUAGAACCCAUCAGAAAUGUAAAAGUGCCGAAAAUUUCAUUUACAUUAAAUUGUUUGUAAUGCUUUUAGCCAUAAAACAUCAUUUUUUUAACAUAAAUAUGAUAAAAUGCUAUCUGAUCUUUUUUCAGCAGUCUUAUAUCACUUAAAAUUGGGUCUAGACAUUUAUGCAAAAAAAUUGUCCAUUUAUAGACAAACAAUAAAAGAGUACCGGUAGUCAAAACGAUCAAUCGGUGAGAUUGCAGCUUUAAAUACACCUUUUAAGACCGCUGUAAAAUUCCAAUGGUUUGCCUAAAUCUUUAAAGCUAGCAUACUGUUUAAUUAACAACCAUACUUAUUGUUUAAAAGUGUCAUGAUAUCUUUGUACAAUGUUUUUAUAUAAUUCAUUAAAGAAGUCAAAACAAAUUUGUUUAUCUUGUAAAUUGUUUUCUAUUAUUUAAAUGACCCAGACAAAAAUGGGAACGUCAGUGCUAGUUCUUUUACUAUUAACAUCCCAUGAAGUUUCUAUUGGUGUAGCAGCA